UAUGGCCAUCUAAUACUGAAUGCACCUGAUCUCAUCUGAUCUCAAAAGCUAAGCAGGGUUGGGACCAGCAGUUGGCGUAAUGGCUAUGU
rnacentral:rRNA from 1 species